rnacentral:rRNA from 1 species
UCCUACGGGAGGCAGCAGUGAGGAAUAUUGGUCAAUGGAGGCAACUCUGAACCAGCCAAGUAGCGUGCAGGAUGACGGCCCUAUGGGUUGUAAACUGCUUUUAUGCGGGGGUAAAUGAUCCUACGUGUAGGAUUUUGCAGGUACCGCAUGAAUAAGGACCGGCUAAUUCCGUGCCAGCAGCCGCGGUAAU